AUUGAACGCUGGCGGCAGGCCUAACACAUGCAAGUCGAGCGAGAGGCGGACGGGUUAGUAAUGUAUGGGGAUCUGCCCGCUGGCGGGGGAUAACUACUGGAAACGGUGGCUAAUACCGCAUACUCUCGGAUGCGCCCAUAUGGGAUUAGCUAGUAGGUGGGGUAAAGGCUCACCUAGGCGACGAUCUCUAGCUGGUCUGAGAGGAUGACCAGCCACACUGGAACUGAGACACGGUCCAGACUCCUAGGGGAGGCAGCAGUGGGGAAUAUUGCACAAGGGGCGCAAGCCUGAUGAAGCCAUGCCGCGUGUAUGAAGAAGGCCUUAGGGUUGUAAAGUACUUUCAGCGGGGAGGCGUUACCCGCAGAAGAAGCACCGGCUAACUCCGUGCCAGCAGCCGCGGUAAUAC
rnacentral:rRNA from 1 species